AAUAUACUCCCUCCGUCCCAUAUUAAGUGACUCAAAUUUGUCUAAAUAUGGACGUAUCUAUAUAAUAAAAUACGUCUAGAUACAUGUAAUAUUACAGCAUUUAAUAUGGGAUGGAGGGAGUACAGU
rfam:Brachypodium distachyon strain Bd21 chromosome 1, whole genome shotgun sequence.